ACGUGAGUAACGCGUGGGUGACCUACCCAGGAGACCGGGAUAACAGUGGGAAACUGCUGCUAAUACCGGGUACGCUUCAUAUUUCACGUAUGGGGGAAAGGCGGCCUCUGCUUGCAAGCUGCCACUCUUGGAUGGGCCCGCGUCUCAUUAGCUUGUUGGUAGGGUAACGGCCUACCAAGGCAACGAUGAGUAGCUGGUCUGAGAGGAUGAUCAGCCACACUGGGACUGGAACACGGCCCAGACUCCUACGGGAGGCAGCAGUGGGGAAUAUUGCGCAAUGGGCGAAAGCCUGACGCAGCGACGCCGCGUGAGGGAAGAAGGCCUUCGGGUCGUAAACCUCUGUCAGGAGGGAAGAAACCAUGGGAGUCGAAUAGGCUCUCGUGCUGACGGUACCUCCGGAGGAAGCACCGGCUAACUCCUGU
rnacentral:rRNA from 1 species